CAGCCACCACGGGAAUACGGAGGAUCCAAGCGUUAUCCGGAAUCAUUGGGUUUAAAGGGUCCGUAGGCGGUCUUGUAAGUCAGUGGUGAAAGCCCAUCGCUCAACGGUGGAACGGCCAUUGAUACUGCAGGACUUGAAUUAUUGGGAAGUAACUAGAAUAUGUAGUGUAGCGGUGAAAUGCUUAGAGAUUACAUGGAAUACCAAUUGCGAAGGCAGGUUACUACCAAUUGAUUGACGCUGAUGGACGAAAGCGUGGGUAGCGAACAGGAUUAGAUACCCCAGUAGUCCCUGUCUCUUAUAC
rnacentral:rRNA from 1 species